rnacentral:rRNA from 1 species
CAGUCGCCGCGGUAAUACAGAGGGUGCGAGCGUUAAUCGGAUUUACUGGGCGUAAAGCGUGCGUAGGCGGCUAAUUGAGUCGGAUGUGAAAUCCCCGAGCUUAACUUGGGAAUUGCAUUCGAUACUGGUUAGCUAGAGUGUGGGAGAGGAUGGUAGAAUUCCAGGUGUAGCGGUGAAAUGCGUAGAGAUCUGGAGGAAUACCGAUGGCGAAGGCAGCCAUCUGGCCUAAUACUGACGCUGAGGUACGAAAGCAUGGGGAGCAAACAGGAUUAGAUACCCCAGUAGUCCCUGUCACUUAUAC